UGGGGAAUUUUGGACAAUGGGGGCAACCCUGAUCCAGCCAUGCCGCGUGAGUGAAGAAGGCCUUCGGGUUGUAAAGCUCUUUCGGACGGAAAGAAAUCGCGCAGGUGAAUAAUCUGCGUGGAUGACGGUACCGUAAGAAGAAGCACCGGCUAACUACGUGCCAGCAGCCGCGGUAAUACGUAGGGUGCGAGCGUUAAUCGGAAUUACUGGGCGUAAAGCGUGCGCAGGCGGCUUUGUAAGACAGGUGUGAAAUCCCCGGGCUUAACCUGGGAAUGGCGCUUGUGACUGCAAGGCUCGAGUGCGGCAGAGGGGGGUGGAAUUCCACGUGUAGCAGUGAAAUGCGUAGAGAUGUGGAGGAACACCGAUGGCGAAGGCAGCCCCCUGGGUCGACACUGACGCUCAUGCACGAAAGCGUGGGGAGCAAACAGG
rnacentral:rRNA from 1 species